GGUCAUUGUUGGCCUUGCGUACCUUUACAUCACUGCGAAAGAGGAAGAGAGGGCCAGAGAGCACUCUUCCGGAUAUGGUUCAUCAGCUUCAGGCAGUGGU